UACGUAGGGUGCAAGCGUUACUCGGAAUUACUGGGCGUAAAGCGUGCGCAGGCGGUUAUGCAAGACAGAUGUGAAAUCCCCGGGCUCAACCUGGGAACUGCAUUUGUGACUGCAUGGCUAGAGUGCGGCAGAGGGGGAUGGAAUUCCGCGUGUAGCAGUGAAAUGCGUAGAUAUGCGGAGGAACACCGAUGGCGAAGGCAAUCCCCUGGGCCUGCACUGACGCUCAUGCACGAAAGCGUGGGGAGCAAACAGG
rnacentral:rRNA from 1 species